UGAUCCUUUCUCAGAACGAACGCUGGCGGCAGGCUUAACACAUGCAAGUCGAGCGCCCCGCAAGGGGAGCGGCAGACGGGUGAGUAACGCGUGGGAAUCUACCCAUCUCUACGGAACAACUCCGGGAAACUGGAGCUAAUACCGUAUACGUCCUUAUGGAGAAAGAUUUAUCGGAGAUGGAUGAGCCCGCGUUGGAUUAGCUAGUUGGUGGGGUAAUGGCCUACCAAGGCGACGAUCCAUAGCUGGUCUGAGAGGAUGAUCAGCCACACUGGGACUGAGACACGGCCCACACUCCUACGGGAGGCAGCAGUGGGGAAUAUUGGACAAUGGGCGCAAGCCUGAUCCAGCCAUGCCGCGUGAGUGAUGAAGGCCCUAGGGUUGUAAAGCUCUUUCAACGGUGAAGAUAAUGACGGUAACCGUAGAAGAAGCCCCGGCUAACUUCGUGCCAGCAGCCGCGGUAAUACGAAGGGGGCUAGCGUUGUUCGGAAUUACUGGGCGUAAAGCGCACGUAGGCGGAUACUUAAGUCAGGGGUGAAAUCCCGGGGCUCAACCCCGGAACUGCCUUUGAUACUGGGUAUCUGGAGUCCGGAAGAGGUGAGUGGAAUUCCGAGUGUAGAGCUGAAAUUCGUAGAUAUUCGGAGGAACACCAGUGGCGAAGGCGGCUCACUGGUCCGGUACUGACGCUGAGGUGCGAAAGCGUGGGGAGCAAACAGGAUUGGAUACCCCUGGUAGUC
rnacentral:rRNA from 1 species